AAGCGUGCUGGUUGUCCUUGGGACUCUUCUGGGAGCUGUCUGUGGGGGUUCCAGUGAACGCGCCUGCUGGGUGAGCUCCACCAGCACAGCAGCAAGAAAAAAGAAAGCGCACCAAAACCAGGAUGAGAAGACCCUUCCUCUUUCACGGCUGACAAAACAUUGACGUUGUGCUGGCUGGCAAGGGAGAAUGUUCCCAUAUUACAGGCCAGCAACGAAGGAUGGAUUUGGAGCUGAGAGGUGAGGUUCCCUGCGAAACAGUCUCAGAGGCAGAUGUCUACAUGCAGGAGGUUUCCUGGGGAGCAGUGAGGAGCAACACCUGUGAGAGUUUUGGGUGAAGCAUUUAACGCUUGAUAAAAGGAAGUCCUGGGGAUGAGGAGAACAUGGAAGAACUGGAGAUCAGUUAUCCAAGUGUCUUCUCAGGCCUGGUUAAGACGGGGUUUCUACCUGGGGAGAGAAGGGAGAAUCAGAGAUAUGGGACGGCGCCAACCGCGCAGGGGACGUGGGCUGGGUCCCAAGACCACCGUGGUGUGAAUCCCACCAGGUAUUCUCCUCCCAAGGGCACUGAGAUGUGCCGCCAAGGAAUCGGGGUCUGGGGAUCAGGAAUUCUGGGCAAGCCACCCUAAGGAAUUAUACUCUCGGAAUAUCCUUUACCUCACAAUUUCAAUGUGAAGAGGAAAAGGAUUCAUUCUUAGAAGCUGGAAGCAAAAACCAUGGCAAUUGAAAAUAGUCAUCAUAAAAACUCAG